rnacentral:rRNA from 1 species
GACGAACGCUGGCGGCGUGCUUAACACAUGCAAGUCGAACGGAAAGGCCCUGCUUUUGUGGGGUGCUCGAGUGGCGAACGGGUGAGUAACACGUGAGUAACCUGCCCUUGACUUUGGGAUAACUUCAGGAAACUGGGGCUAAUACCGGAUAGGAGCUCCUGCUGCAUGGAGGGGGUUGGAAAGUUUCGGCGGUUGGGGAUGGACUCGCGGCUGAUCAGCUUGUUGGUGGGGUAGUGGCUUACCAAGUCUUUGACGGGUCGCCGGCCUGAGAGGGUGACCGGCGACAAUGGGACUGAGAUACGCCCCAGACUCCUACGGGAGGCAGCAGUGGGGAAUAUUGCACAAUGGGCGGAAGCCUGAUGCAGCAACGCCGCGUGCGGGAUGACGGCCUUCGGGUUGUAAACAGCUUUAGCCUGUGACGAAGCGUGAGUGACGGUAAUGGGUAAAGAAGCACCGGCUAACUACGUG